UACGUAGGGUGCAAGCGUUGUCCGGAAUUACUGGGCGUAAAGAGCUCGUAGGCGGUUUGUCGCGUCUGCUGUGAAAACCCGAGGCUCAACCUCGCGCCUGCAGUGGGUACGGGCAGACUGGAGUGCGGUAGGGGAGAUUGGAAUUCCUGGUGUAGCGGUGGAAUGCGCAGAUAUCAGGAGGAGCACCGAUGGCGAAGGCAGAUCUCUGGGCCGUAACUGACGCUGAGGAGCGAAAGCGUGGGGAGCGAACAGG
rnacentral:rRNA from 1 species